rnacentral:rRNA from 1 species
UGCGUAGGCGGGCUGCCAAGUUUGAGGUGAAAUCCUCCGGCUCAACCGGGGAAGUGCCUUGAAUACUGGCGGUCUGGAGGGAGGUAGGGGCGUGCGGAACUAACGGUGGAGCGGUGAAAUGCGUUGAUAUCGUUAGGAACUCCGGUGGCGAAGGCGGCACGCUGGACCUCUUCUGACGCUGAGGCACGAAAGCCAGGGGAGCAACG